rnacentral:rRNA from 1 species
UACGUAGGGUGCGAGCGUUAAUCGGAAUUACUGGGCGUAAAGCGUGCGCAGGCGGUUCUGAAAGUCAGCUGUGAAAGCCCCGGGCUUAACCUGGGAAUGGCGGUUGAAACUACAGGACUAGAAUCUGGCAGAGGGGGGUGGAAUUCCACGUGUAGCAGUGAAAUGCGUAGAGAUGUGGAGGGACACCGAUGGCGAAGGCAGCCCCCCUGGGCUGAGAUUGACGCUCAGGCACGAAAGCGUGGGGAGCAAACAGG